AAGGUAAUAGCUCAGUGAUAGAGUGUAUGCUUAGCAGGCACAAGGUCCUGGGUUCAACCCCCAGUACCCCCA
rnacentral:tRNA from 1 species